rnacentral:rRNA from 1 species
AGAGUUUGAUCCUGGCUCAGGAUGAACGCUAGCUACAGGCUUAACACAUGCAAGUCGAGGGGCAGCAUGGUUUCAGCUUGCUGAGACUGAUGGCGACCGGCGCACGGGUGAGUAACGCGUAUCCAACCUGCCCUUUACUCCGGGAUAGUCUCCUGAAAGGGAGUUUAAUACCGGAUGUGUUUGUCUUUCCGCAUGGGAGCGACAAAUAAAGAUUAAUUGGUAAAGGAUGGGGAUGCGUCCCAUUAGCUUGUUGGCGGGGUAACGGCCCACCAAGGCGACGAUGGGUAGGGGUUCUGAGAGGAAGGUCCCCCACAUUGGAACUGAGACACGGUCCAAACUCCUACGGGAGGCAGCAGUGAGGAAUAUUGGUCAAUGGGCGGGAGCCUGAACCAGCCAAGUAGCGUGAAGGACGACGGCCCUACGGGUUGUAAACUUCUUUUAUAAGGGAAUAAAGUUCGCCACGUGUGGUGUUUUGUAUGUACCUUAUGAAUAAGCAUCGGCUAAUUCCGUGCCAGCAGCCGCGGUAAUACGGAAGAUGCGAGCGUUAUCCGGAUUUAUUGGGUUUAAAGGGAGCGUAGGCGGGCUUUUAAGUCAGCGGUCAAAUGUCACGGCUCAACCGUGGCCAGCCGUUGAAACUGCAAGCCUUGAGUCUGCACAGGGCACAUGGAAUUCGUGGUGUAGCGGUGAAAUGCUUAGAUAUCACGAAGAACUCCGAUCGCGAAGGCAUUGUGCCGGGGCAGCACUGACGCUGAGGCUCGAAAGUGCGGGUAUCAAACAGGAUUAGAUACCCUGGUAGUCCGCACGGUAAACGAUGAAUGCUCGCUAUGGGCGAUAUAUUGUCCGUGGCCAAGCGAAAGCGUUAAGCAUUCCACCUGGGGAGUACGCCGGCAACGGUGAAACUCAAAGGA